GACAGAGGUCCCAAGCGUUAGGCGGAAUCACUGGGCUUAAAGCGUGUGUAGGCGGAUUUGUAAGUACCUUGUGAAAUCCCACGGCUUAACCGUGGAACUGCUUGGUAUACUGCUUAUCUUGGGCCGUCUAGGGGCGAGCGGAACAAACGGUGGAGCGGUGAAAUGCGUAGAUAUCGUUUGGAACGCCAAUGGUGAAAACAGCUCGCUGGGGACGUACCGACGCUGAGACACGAAAGCCAGGGGAGCGAACGGG
rnacentral:rRNA from 1 species